rnacentral:rRNA from 1 species
CAGCAGCCGCGGGAAUACGGAGGGAGCUAGCGUUGUUCGGAAUUACUGGGCGUAAAGCGCACGUAGGCGGUUAUUCAAGUCAGAGGUGAAAGCCCGGGGCUCAACCCCGGAACUGUCUUUGAAACUAGAUGACUGGAAUCUUGGAGAGGUCAGUGGAAUUCCGAGUGUAGAGGUGAAAUUCGUAGAUAUUCGGAAGAACACCAGUGGCGAAGGCGACUGACUGGACAAGUAUUGACGCUGAGGUGCGAAAGCGUGGGGAGCGAACAGGAUUAGAUACCCCGGUAGUCCCUGUCUCUUAUAC